GACACGCUGGCGGCGUGCCUAACACAUGCAAGUCGAGCGGAGAUAAGCGGAUGGUAACUGAAGUUUGUCUUAGCGGCGGACGGGUGAGUAACACGUGGGCAACCUGCCUUGGAGUGGGGGAUAACACCGGGAAAUCGGUGCUAAUACCGCAUAACAUACACAUACUGCAUGGUGAGUGUAUCAAAGGAGCAAUCCGCUUUAAGAUGGGCCCGCGGCUGAUUAGCUAGUUGGUAAGGUAACGGCUUACCAAGGCGACGAUCAGUAGCCGACCUGAGAGGGUGACCGGCCACACUGGAACUGAGACACGGUCCAGACUCCUACGGGAGGCAGCAGUGGGGAAUAUUGCGCAAUGGGGGAAACCCUGACGCAGCAACGCCGCGUGGAGGAAGAAGGUCUUCGGAUUGUAAACUCCUGUCUUCUGGGACGAAGUAUGACGGUACCAGAGGAGGAAGCCACGGCUAACUACGUG
rnacentral:rRNA from 1 species